GAUGAAGAACGUAGCGAAAUGCGAUACGUAAUGUGAAUUGCAGAAUUCAGUGAAUCAUCGAAUCUUUGAACGCAUAUUGCGCUCUCUGGUAUUCCGGAGAGCAUGCUUGUUUGAGUAUCAGUAAACACCUCAACUUCCAUAUCUUUUUUGAAAUGGGAGUUGGACUUGAGUGAUCCCAACGCUUUUCCUCACCGAAAAGUGGCGGGUUACUUGAAAUGCAGGUGCAGCUGGACUUUUCUCUGAGCUAUAAGCAUAUCUAUUUAGUCUGCCUAAAAAACAGAUUAUUACCUUUGCUGCAGCUAACAUAAAGGAGAUUAGUUCUUGUGCUGACUGAUACAGGAUUCACAAAGACAGGCUUCGGCCGACUUUGUAAACUCGAUCUCAAAUCAAGUAAGACUACCCGCUGAACUUAAGCAUAUCAAUAAGCGGAGGA
rnacentral:misc_RNA from 1 species